GAUGAACGCUGGCGGCGUGCUUAACACAUGCAAGUCGAACGAUGAAGCCCAGCUUGCUGGGUGGAUUAGUGGCGAACGGGUGAGUAACACGUGAGUAACCUGCCCUUAACUCUGGGAUAAGCCUGGGAAACUGGGUCUAAUACCGGAUAGGAGCGUCCACCGCAUGGUGGGUGUUGGAAAGAUUUAUCGGUUUUGGAUGGACUCGCGGCCUAUCAGCUUGUUGGUGAGGUAAUGGCUCACCAAGGCGACGACGGGUAGCCGGCCUGAGAGGGGGACCGGCCACACUGGGACUAAGAAACGGCCCAGACUCCUACGGGAGGCAGCAGUGGGGAAUAUUGCACAAUGGGCGCAAGCCUGAUGCAGCGACGCCGCGUGAGGGAUGACGGCCUUCGGGUUGUAAACCUCUUUCAAUAGGGAAGAAGCGAAAGUGACGGUACCUGCAGAAGAAGCACCGGCUAACUACGUG
rnacentral:rRNA from 1 species